AUAGCACCGGCUAACUCUGUGCCAGCAGCCGCGGUAAUACAGAGGGUGCAAGCGUUAAUCGGAAUUACUGGGCGUAAAGCGAGCGUAGGUGGCUUGAUAAGUCAGAUGUGAAAUCCCCGGGCUUAACCUGGGAACUGCAUCUGAAACUGUUAGGCUAGAGUAGGUGAGAGGAAGGUAGAAUUCCAGGUGUAGCGGUGAAAUGCGUAGAGAUCUGGAGGAAUACCGAUGGCGAAGGCAGCCUUCUGGCAUCAUACUGACACUGAGGCUCGAAAGCGUGGGUAGCAAACAGGAUUAGAUACCCUGGUAGUCCACGCCGUAAACGAUGUCUACUAGCCGUUGGGUCCCUUGAGGACUUAGUGACGCAGCUAACGCAAUAAGUAGACCGCCUGGGGAGUACGGCCGCAAGGUUAAAACUCAAAUGAAUUGACGGGGGCCCGCACAGGCGGUGGAGCAUGUGGUUUAACUCGAUGCAACGCGAAGAACCUUACCUGGUCUUGACAUAUCUAGAAUCCUGCAGAGAUGCGGGAGUGCCUUCGGGAAUUAGAAUACAGGUGCUGCAUGGCUGUCGUCAGCUCGUGUCGUGAGAUGUUGGGUUAAGUCCCGCAACGAGCGCAACCCUUGUCCUUAGUUACCAGCGGGUUAAGCCGGGAACUCUAAGGAUACUGCCAGUGACAAACUGGAGGAAGGCGGGGACGACGUCAAGUCAUCAUGGCCCUUACGACCAGGGCUACACACGUGCUACAAUGGUAGGUACAGAGGGCAGCUACACAGCGAUGUGAUGCGAAUCUCAAAAAGCCUAUCGUAGUCCAGAUUGGAGUCUGCAACUCGACUCCAUGAAGUAGGAAUCGCUAGUAAUCGCGGAUCAGAAUGCCGCGGUGAAUACGUUCCCGGGCCUUGUACACACCGCCCGUC
rnacentral:rRNA from 1 species